rnacentral:rRNA from 1 species
UGUGACCUACGGGGGGCAGCAGUGGGGAAUAUUGCACAAUGGGGGGAACCCUGAUGCAGCAAUGCCGCGUGGGUGAAGAAGCACUCCGGUGCGUAAAGCCCUGUCAGCAGGGAAGAAAAUGACAGUACCUGGACAAGAAGCCCCGGCUAACUACGUGCCAGCAGCCGCGGUAAUACGUAGGGGGCAAGCGUUAUCCGGAUUUACUGGGUGUAAAGGGAGCGUAGACGGCAUGGCAAGUCUGAAGCGAAAGCCCGGGGCUCAACCGCGGGACUGCUUUGGAAACUGUUAAGCUGGAGUGCAGGAGG